CACAACUUGAAGCCAUUUCCUCUCAUCCUGUCUCUUGUUACCUGGGAGAAGAGGCAAACUGCACCUGGCUACAGCCUCCUGUCUGGCAGUUGUAGGGAGUGAUAAAGUCCCCAUGGAACCUCUGCUCCAGGGUUGGCAAGAAAAGUGCUGAAAUCCCUAACAUGACCAGCAUUAAAAACAAAUAAAUCACUAGAAAACUCUAGUUGAAACUGGACUUGAAACUUCAUUGAAACUGCACAUGUAUUGGUCAGAGGAAUAGCGGGUGAUGCAGGGGGCCUCUGCUGUUCCUUGCUUCUGUAAUUAGUGAUCUGCACUGAUCUCUGAGAUCGGUGACUCACUGGUAGUUCUCCUGCUCUUUCCAGAGUCACCAGGCCCUGCUGGUUACUGACACCCUCUGUGCCUCUAAUUUGAUGCUUUAAAGCAUAAUGAUUGCCUUCACCUUGUGGGCCCAUUCACUAAGGAAAAAAAAAAAAAAA